GUAACCGCUAAGUCCACAACACAAUCUUCUUGACAAGGUCUCUUCCUCUUGCUCUUCUUCCUGCUUCCAUUUGACACCCAGGAAGACACUACUGCAGGAGAAGCAAUUCUGGAUCAAUGCUUGGGCUCCAUAUUGGGAGGCCAUUUACAGCUCACCUAUCUCAAUGAACACCUUCAGCACAGCCAAAAAAGCUUUGAACAAAGAUGUGUGCAGCUGAGAAAUGGAAGUCAUACAUAGUUUUCCAUCACAGAGUACCAGAGUAUCUGAAACAGCAAUUUAAAACAUGCUCCAAGAAGUUUUGAAUUUCCCUGUAAUUUCAGAUGGAACUUUACAAUAAAAUAAAAUGCUUCAUAAAAG
rnacentral:lncRNA from 1 species